rnacentral:rRNA from 1 species
AACGCGAAGAACCUUACCUGGGCUCGAAGCGCAGUGGACCGGGGUGGAAACAUCCCUUUUCGCAAGAACUGCUGCGGAGGUGCUGCAUGGCUGUCGUCAGCUCGUGUCGUGAGAUGUUGGGUUAAGUCCCGCAACGAGCGCAACCCUUAUCGUUAGUUGCCAGCGGGUUAUGCCGGGCACUCUAGCGAAACCGCCUCGGAUAACGGGGAGGAAGGUGGGGAUGACGUCAAGUCCUCAUGGCCUUUAUGUCCAGGGCUACACACGUGCUACAAUGGUCGGUACAAACCGUCGCAAACCCGCGAGGGGGAGCUAAUCGGAAAAAGCCGGCCUCAGUUCGGAUUGGAGUCUGCAACCCGACUCCAUGAAGCUGGAAUCGCUAGUAAUCGCAGAUCAGAACGCUGCGGUGAAUACGUUCCCGGGCCUUGUACACACCGACGCGUA